rnacentral:tRNA from 1 species
GCGGGGGUGGCCGAGUGGUCAAAGGCGCAAGAUCCAUGACCUUGUGGGCGUAGGCCCUUCGCCGGUUCGAAUCCGGCCCCCCGCA